GACGAACGCUGGCGGCGUGCUUAACACAUGCAAGUCGAACGGAAAGGCCCUGCUUUUGUGGGGUGCUCGAGUGGCGAACGGGUGAGUAACACGUGAGUAACCUGCCCUUGACUUUGGGAUAACUUCAGGAAACUGGGGCUAAUACCGGAUAGGAGCUCCUGCUGCAUGGUGGGGGUUGGAAAGUUUCGGCGGUUGGGGAUGGACUCGCGGCUUAUCAGCUUGUUGGUGGGGUAGUGGCAUACCAAGGCUUUGACGGGUAGCCGGCCUGAGAGGGUGACCGGCGACAUUGGGACUGAGAGACGGACCAGACUGGUACGUGAGGCAGCAGUGGGGAGUAUUGCACAAUGAGAGGAAGCGUGAUGAGGCGGCGUCGCGUGCGGAAUGACGGCCUGCGGGGUAUAAACCGCUUUCGCCUGAGACGAAGCGUGAGUGACGGUAAUGGGUGAAGAAGCACCGGCUAACUACGUG
rnacentral:rRNA from 1 species